GACGAACCGUACGAACGUUAUUCGGAAUCACUGGGCUUAAAGGGUGCGUAGGCUGCGCGGAAAGUUGGGUGUGAAAUCCCUCGGCUCAACCGAGGAACUGCGCCCAAAACUGCCGUGCUCGAGGGAGACAGAGGUGAGCGGAACUUAGGGUGGAGCGGUGAAAUGCGUUGAUAUCCUAAGGAACACCGGUGGCGAAAGCGGCUCACUGGGUCUCUUCUGACGCUGAGGCGCGAAAGCGUGGGGAGCAAACAGG
rnacentral:rRNA from 1 species